rnacentral:rRNA from 1 species
AUUGAACGCUGGCGGCAGGCCUAACACAUGCAAGUCGAACGAGUGGCGGACGGGUGAGUAAUGUCUGGGAAACUGCCUGAUGGAGGGGGAUAACUACUGGAAACGGUAGCUAAUACCGCAUACCAUCGGAUGUGCCCAGAUGGGCUUAGCUAGUCGGGGGGGUAAAGGCUCACCUAGGCGACGAUCCCUAGCUGGUCUGAGAGGAUGACGAGCCACACGGGAACUGAGAAACGGUGCAUAAGCCGAAGGGAGGCAGCAGGGGGGAAGAGUGCACAAUGGGCGCAAGCCUGAUGCAGCCAUGCCGAGUGUAGGAAGAAGGCCUUCGGGUGGUAAAGUACGUUCAGCGGGGAGGCGUUACCCGCAGAAGAAGCACCGGCUAACUCCGUGCCAGCCGCCGCGGUAAUAC